rnacentral:rRNA from 1 species
AGGGAAGAAUAAUGACGGUACCUGGGGAAUAAGUCACGGCUAACUACGUGCCAGCAGCCGCGGUAAUACGUAGGUGGCUAGCGUUAUCCGGAUUUAUUGGGCGUAAAGAGAGCGUAGGUGGUUUUUUAAGUCAGUUGUAAAAUCUCCCGGCUUAACUGGGAGGGAUCAUCUGAUACUAUUGGACUGGAGUGCAGCAGAGGGAGUUGGAAUUCCCGGUGUAGUGGUGAAAUGCGUAGAUAUCGGGAGGAACACCAGUGGCGAAGGCGAGCUCCUGGGCUGCUACUGACACUGAGGCUCGAAAGCGUGGGGAGCGAACAGGAUUAGAUACCCUGGUAGUCCACGCCGUAAACGAUGGAGACUAGGUAUAGGGAGUAUCGACCCUCUCUGUGCCGAAGCUAACGCUUUAAGUCUCCCGCCUGGGGAGUACGGUCGCAAGACUAAAACUCAAAGGAAUUGACGGGGGCCCGCACAAGCAGCGGAGCGUGUGGUUUAAUUCGAUGCAACACGAAGAACCUUACCAAGACUUGACAUGUUGGAUGUAGCGAACCGAAAGGCAAGCGACCUGUUAAAUCAGGAGCCUUCACAGGUGCU